AGUGAACGCUGGCGGUAGGCCUAACACAUGCAAGUCGAACGGCAGCACAGUAAGAGCUUGCUCUUACGGGUGGCGAGUGGCGGACGGGUGAGGAAUACAUCGGAAUCUACUUUUUCGUGGGGGAUAACGUAGGGAAACUUACGCUAAUACCGCAUACGACCUACGGGUGAAAGCAGGGGAUCUUCGGACCUUGCGCGAUUGACUGAGCCGAUGUCGGAUUAGCUAGUUGGCGGGGUAAAGGCCCACCAAGGCGACGAUCCGUAGCUGGUCUGAGAGGAUGAUCAGCCACACUGGAACUGAGACACGGUCCAGACUCCUACGGGAGGCAGCAGUGGGGAAUAUUGGACAAUGGGCGCAAGCCUGAUCCAGCCAUACCGCGUGUGUGAAGAAGGCCUUCGGGUUGUAAAGCCCUUUUGCUGGGAAAGAAAAGCAGCAGGUUAAUACCCCGCUGUUCUGACGGUACCCAAAGAAUAAGCACCGGCUAACUUCGUG
rnacentral:rRNA from 1 species